GUAGUCCACCCCGUAAACGUUGGGAACUAGUUGUGGGGUCCAUUCCACGGAUUCCGUGACGCAGCUAACGCAUUAAGUUCCCCGCCUGGGGAGUACGGCCGCAAGGCUAAAACUCAAAGGAAUUGACGGGGACCCGCACAAGCGGCGGAGCAUGCGGAUUAAUUCGAUGCAACGCGAAGAACCUUACCAAGGCUUGACAUAUUCGAGAACACCGUGGAAACACGGGACUCUUUGGACACUCGUUUACAGGUGGUGCAUGGUUGUCGUCAGCUCGUGUCGUGAGAUGUUGGGUUAAGUCCCGCAACGAGCGCAACCCUCGUUCUAUGUUGCCAGCACGUUAUGGUGGGAACUCAUGGAAUACUGCCGGGGUCAACUCGGA
rnacentral:rRNA from 1 species